rnacentral:lncRNA from 1 species
GACUAGAACUUGGAGCUGGAGACUGGAUUGGAUGCAGGUGAAAUGAUUUAGCAAGAACACUUGACUGGUGAGACUAUGGACUUCACGUUUGCAACAGGCAGCAUUUGAUAUCAAGCCAAGGCACAUGACCUUCCAAAUUAAAGGGUCCCAGCAAAUGCCCAGCACAAAUAACGAAGACCUCUACCAGCUACCUCAUCGUACAACUUCAAAACCAAAAAAUUGGACCCUAAAAUCUCCCAGAAUUGGGAAAGACAAAAAUAGGCAGAUAAAAAGAUCUGGAGACAGACUGGCAUCAGACGUGAUCUCAGAGCAGCUCUGGAAGUGGGAAGAGAUGAUGGAGCGGCACCUUCCCGGUUCUGAGGUGCAGCAACGUCCAGCCUGGAAUUCUGCACCUAAGCACACUGCAGACUAAAGCAGGAAAAUAUAAGGCAUUUUCUGGCAUGAAAUGUUUAGCAGGACUGUUUUUUUAAAAAGUAAUCUUUGUAGGACUAUUUGACCUUUCCAAUAUCAUAUAUGUAAUAUUUGAAAAAAGUUAUUUUUUUAAUAUUCAGAAAACAAUCUUUUAUAGCAAAAUAGUCUGUUAGGAGAAAUAAGUUCAAGAUAUUGAUUUUACAAGAUAGUGACUAUAGCAAAUAACAAUGCACUGUGUUUUGAACAUCACUGAGAGUAGAUUUUAAGUGUUCUCACCACAAAAAAAAAGUAUUCAAUGAAAGGCAGAUGUUAAUUAGCUCAGUUUAGCCAAUCCACAAUGUAUACGUAUUUCACAACAUCACAUUGUACAUGGUAAAUAUACACUUUAUUUGUCAACUUAAAAAAUAAAAUAUCACACAAAAAUGAAAAAAUAUACAUUCAGUUACAAAGACACUUAAGACAGACAUUUAUCAAAACCAAAUUCCCUCCUCAUAGCACAGUAAAACCAGAAACAAAUUUCUAAAAUACAAUUUAAUGGUCCUAAGAUCAAGGUCAUUAAAAUGCUCAUAUCUGGAAGGUACAGUGAAGCUGGUCCACCACAGUGCAGCAGGAUGAAUGUUAUAAUCCUCCCAGAAAGUAAUCUGGAGGCACGUUCAAAGCCAUAAAAAGUUGUGUGCAUUUUUGUCUCACUGAAAGAGCUACCGGGAAUUUAUCCUAAGGAAAUACUCCAAAAUAAAGAAUACUAUUUCAUGGUGAAAAUCAGUGCA